UUUUCAAUCCUCUGCAGGGAACAUAGACCCUUGGUACCCUCUGAGUGUCCUCAAGAACGAGUCCGAUUCGGAACCGGCUAUUUUAAUCAACGGCACCUCUCAUUGUGCCAAUAUGUAUUCUCCCGCACCCGGCGACCCUUUGUCCCUUAUCCAUGCCAGACAGCAAAUUACUUCCUGGGUUGGCAAAUGGCUGAAUUUAGCAAAAAUUCACUGAGACAACCU